AUACGGAGGGUGCAAGCGUUACUCGGAAUUACUGGGCGUAAAGGACGCGUAGGCGGUUUAGAAAGUCAGAUGUGAAAGCCUAUGGCUUAACCAUAGAACUGCAUCUGAAACUCCUAGACUAGAGUGAGGGAGAGGUCAGUGGAAUUAGUGGUGUAGGGGUAAAAUCCGUAGAGAUCACUAGGAAUACUCAUAGCGAAGGCGACUGACUGGAACUUUACUGACGCUGAGGCGUGAAAGCGUGGGGAGCAAACAGGAUUAGAUACCCGGGUAGUCC
rnacentral:rRNA from 1 species